rnacentral:rRNA from 1 species
ACGCGAAGAACCUUACCCAGGCUUGAACAGCGAGUGACCAUCGACGAAAGUUGACUUCCGCAAGGACACUCGUAGAGGUGCUGCAUGGCUGUCGUCAGCUCGUGUCGUGAGAUGUUGGGUUAAGUCCCGCAACGAGCGCAACCCUUGUUUGCUGUUGCCAUCAGGUUAUGCUGGGCACUCUGCAAAGACUGCCGGUGAUAAACCGGAGGAAGGUGGGGAUGACGUCAAGUCAGCAUGGCCUUUAUGUCUGGGGCUACACACGUGCUACAAUGGCCGAUACAAACCGUCGCAGAGCCGUAAGGUGAAGCUAAUCGGAGAAAGUCGGUCUCAGUUCGGAUUGUAGGCUGCAACUCGCCUGCAUGAAGUUGGAAUCGCUAGUAAUCGCGGAUCAGCACGCCGCGGUGAAUACGUUCCCGGGCCUUGUA